GACGAACCGUGCGAACGUUGUUCGGAAUCACUGGGCUUAAAGGGCGCGUAGGCGGGCUCGCAAGUCUGUGGUGAAAUCCUCCAGCUUAACUGGAGAAUGGCCGUGGAUACUGCGAGUCUCGAGGGAGGUAGGGGCGUGCGGAACAGAUGGUGGAGCGGUGAAAUGCGUUGAUAUCAUCUGGAACUCCGGUGGCGAAGGCGGCACGCUGGACCUCAUCUGACGCUGAGGCGCGAAAGCCAGGGGAGCAAACGGG
rnacentral:rRNA from 1 species